CUUCCGAAAUCCAUUGUUGCGGACGGACCCCUUCGGGCCCAGGCGUAGUAGCAUAACCCCUCUUGCCGCGGCUCCCAGUGGGUUGACGUUCCUGCCCACGACCCCACUAUUCUAACGCGCUUGACCUCGAAUCAGGUAGGGAUACCCGCUGAACUUAAGCAUAUCAAUAAGCGGAGGAAAAGAAACCAACAGGGAUUGCCUCAGUAACUGCGAGUGAAGCGGCAAGAGCUCAAAUUUGAAAGCUGGCACCUUUGGUGUCCGCGUUGUAAUUUGGAGAGGCAUCUUCGGGUGGGGCGCCGGUUCAAGUUCCUUGGAACAGGACGUCACAGAGGGUGAGAAUCCCGUGCGUGGCUGGCUGUCCCCGUCCAUGUGAAGUGUCUUCGACGAGUCGAGUUGUUUGGGAAUGCAGCUCAAAAUGGGUGGUAAACUCCAUCUAAAGCUAAAUACUGGCGAGAGACCGAUAGCGCACAAGUAGAGUGAUCGAAAGAUGAAAAGCACUUUGAAAAGAGAGUUAAAAAGUACGUGAAAUUGUUGAAAGGGAAGCGCUUGAGACCAGACUCAGCGCGGGGUAUUCAUCUCCCGUUCUCGGGGGUGUACUUGCCUCGUGUUGGGCCAGCAUCGGUUGUGGCGGCGGGAUAAAGGCCUGGGGAACGUGGCUCGCCUCGGUGAGUGUUACAGCCCUGGGCGUCAUGCCGCCUGCCGCGACCGAGGACCGCGCUUCGGCUAGGAUGCUGGCGUAAUGGUCUUCAGCGACCCGUCUUGAAACACGGACCAAGGAGUCUAACAUCUAUGCGAGUGUUCGGGUGUCAAACCCUUGCGCGGAAUGAAAGUGAACGGAGGUGUGAAGCCGCAAGGCCGCAACAUCGACCGAUCCUGAAGUUUACGGAUGGAUUUGAGUAGGAGCAUAGCUGUUGGGACCCGAAAGAUGGUGAACUAUGCCUGAAUAGGGUGAAGCCAGAGGAAACUCUGGUGGAGGCUCGCAGCGGUUCUGACGUGCAAAUCGAUCGUCAAAUUUGGGUAUAGGGGCGAAAGACUAAUCGAACCAUC
rnacentral:rRNA from 1 species